rnacentral:piRNA from 1 species
UGCUUUGGUCAGUUGCCCUUCCAUAGU